ensembl:lncRNA
UUGGGCUCUUUAGAUUGCACAAAAUGUGACCCAUAAAUGAGCAUGAACCCUGAAGCAAAACAUCUCAAAUGACUGGCGCAGUGGGAGGCUGCUCAUAAAACACUUCCAUCCAACAAACACACACACGCUGGCAGGCAGCUUGUCUCAAAUCUCUUGGAUCAAAUCAUUCUUGAAUGCUAAGCAGCACAGUCUGUUGUUUUGUUGUCCAUGUUGCUAAGCGACCAUCAGCAAGUCAAAGGCUGAGAGAAAAGACAAAUCCCAAAAGAAAAUGAGACGUGGUGGAGGGCAGGAAAUUGCAAGUUUUUAAAAGCCAGUCAAUGUGGGACACGAGGUCUCUCGAGAAGAUGGUGAAUAGGACGACUCUAAGCACACAGAGAGUGCUCCAUGCACACAUUCUGGAACUAGGGGAACAGUUAUGUCCAUGGUCAUCUCCCAGUGCUCCAAAUCUGGUCAAUCCACAGCCUGUGACUGAACAAGAGCAGCCUGACGUCCCCACCAUGGAGGAAUUUAAGCAGCUGGCAGAGAAGGAGAAACACGCUGCCCUUAAACUCCAAGAGGAGGAGUGUGUGAGGAGGUGUGUGCAGGAUGCUGAGAGAAGCAUUCGUGAGGAGUGUGACAUGAAGGCAGAAAGACAGAAACAGGCCCUACAGGACAGACAUGAAGAGAAGAUAUCUAAGCUACAAAACAGGAUACAGCAGCUGCAGGACAGUCUGGAGCAGGCCUGCAGGGAGCGCAUUCAGUAUGAAGCAGAGUUUAAGAAGGUGCAGGCCAGCUACAGGCGGUUUGUGGACCUGACUGAUUCCUCCCUCCACUCUGAUUACCUCUUAAAACUGCGCAGACUGGGGAGAGAGCCAGGUCUCACGGACACUGCGACACAGACUGAUGAGAUCACCUCCUAGCUUGUGAUGGCAGUGUGCACACUGUCUGGGUAUUUGACAUGUCAUAGCAGUCACAGCAGUGUCCUGCACGACACGCUGUACUUUGUCUAAAACCAUUUGAAACAUGUAUUAAUGUUAAAAGAUUGUGGUAUCUAAAAUAUACUUUCACUAAUACAUUUAUCUUUACAAAGUAUUUUUUAGUAAUGAAACAUGUCAACUCUUUCAUAAUAAAUAGAAUAUGUAUUGUGUUGCAAGAUAAAAUCUAGUACAGCACAUUUUGCUGUCUGCAUGUAAAACUAUGUUGAACUAAUUGGUUUAUCAGAUCAAAUUUUAAUAAAUAAUUCUG